AAGUUAACACUUUUGGACCCAAGGAAUUUGUUAAAGUGUCCCUACCGAUUGUUGUUAGGAAAAAAACACGUAAUUUUCUCAUUUACGACACAUUUUUCUAAAAACCGCAGAGUGGCGCCACUGCAGUAUUUGUUUGGUCGACAUACCACGUUGGCUGUCAGAAAUGCACACUGCAGUAAGGCGGUAUUUGAGUUAUAUUUUAGAAGUGCCUAGACAAAAUGUGCUCCUUGUCGUGUGCAGUAACCAUCGCAAACCCUCCGGACUCGUGUAACGCCGUUAGUUCGCCGUGUGUUUCGUGCGAUCUACCAGUGUCGACAGUGAGUGUCUUACUACAGCGCCCGUCCGAGAGCUGCCUUUGUUCUGCCCACGCUCCCGUGAAAAGUCUGGUACUGGAGCUUCGAAUCGUAGUGUAUGGAAGGCUGUUGAAGGUUGUGCUUUUGUGGAGCUGGAGUUCAUCGGAAGUUCUACAGUGCUUGCGCCAGAAAGACGUCGGUGCCUCGGUACCUUUGAGACGAAGGAGCGUUGGCCAAGUCUUUUUGAAAGGCUAUGCGGAUUCUGGAGGCAUCCCUACAUCGAGCAGGAACCUGCUGCACUGCUGGAAGCUGGACAGCACGACAAUAAAGCACGUGAUCUGUGUGCUUUCUCAAAGGUAGACAUCGGCGACGGUGUAUAUGGUGAAAAGGGCCUGCUGAAGAGGCUGCGCCUGGAUGCUAACAACUCGGGCUUUCAGUUUGCGGUGGGCCUCCUUAAGGCUCCUUUUACAAAAGAAGAGGUUGAAGGGAGGCGCUACACAUGGAUGCGCAGCGAUUGUUUGUGAGAGCGUCACUGGCCUGCCUUUUCGCUUUGUUCUGGGUUUUCCACGUUAUCUACUCGAAAAAGGCCCACAGGAUUUUGACAUUUAUUGAGCACUGCUUUCUGGAUUUUUGCUACACAAAGCCGCAGGUGAAAGCAUUGGAUUUAGUCAAUUUUUACAAGAACUAUUGCUAGGCAAAAAAAUUUUCAGAUGCAUAUCCUCAAGAAAGUUUCUGUCAAAAUUAUUUUGCCUAACAAAAGCACUCGUGGGUUCUGUGGCUGACAGGUUGCCCAAGCCAUGUAGCACAGUGCUUGCUUUAAAGGGACACGAAAAAGAAAAUUUAUUUGAGCUUUAUUAAAUCAUUCUUCUACAACACCGAAAAAACAACUCCCACCAUGAGAAUUGGCUUGAUAAGCCAGAUAACUUGCAAAAACGAAAACUGGUGUCGCCACCACCACCUUAUAGUUCCUGCACCAGCUCGCUGUGAUAUGGAAUUUGACGGUGUCUGUUCGGGUCUAGCUAAUGUUCUACUGGCCAAUAUUGAUGAAUUCUGUUGUAAAGGUGUCAAAGAAUAUACUUAGUUGAAGUAUGACUCCACACUGAUGUGCGGGCACUGCAUAAAACUUGAAAAAUGAAAGUUAAAUCUUCAUUUUCUCUUCUAAUAAUCCUCUUAUUGCCACAAUGUUCAUGAAUACAGUUCUGAAAGAUUGUUUUAUCAGUAUAAAAUGAUUUACUGUUUCACUUUAGUAUUUCUGUAAUGGACCUUCAGCAACAAAAUGUGUGUUAGUAUUCCACAGGUAUUCUCAGCGGGGGCAAAAGCACCAGCAGCAUGCUCAAUGAUUCUGUACCAACUGAUAACUUGAAGGAUGUCCUGUGCCACUAGGGUUAGGCCAACGUGGCUCUGUGUUAAUCACAAGUGUAUUAUGCAAAACUUAAUGGCCCAGAAAUUGGUAAUUCAGGAGGGAGUUGAAUUAGCAAUUUUUUUUUCUUUAUCAUGGACUUCUCACAUUACACUUUGUCACAACGCAUUCACUUUAAAGUAACUGGAGAAUAAGGUGGUUUGGUAUUCAGACAUGCCUUCUCUGUGUAAACAGUGUUAGAUGAGCAAUACAAAGAUACACCAUAGAUGCUGACUGGCAACAUGAAGGGGUUUGAGGGCAGCUACAAAUAUACAUCCUUGUAGUCGUACCUAUAGCACCAUGUUCAAUUUGUCACACAAGCAUAUGGCAUCCAUCACAACUGCAUGCCUAGAAACGGACAAGGGCAACACGCUCAAUUCCCUUUUAGUCUAUCUAAGAAGCACUACAAUUUUUAGGCAACGAAAUUGAAAUCUGGCUUGUACCCAUAAGUACAGUCGCCGACCGUUUAUUCGGACCUCACGGGGACUGCGGAAAUGUCCGAAUAAACAGGUGUCCGAAAAAGCAGAUUAAGGGAAAAAAAUGAAAUCCUUUAUUUCCACGCACUUAUUCGGGCUCGGCAGUAGGCUUGAAGAAAUCGUGAAUGCGCCGUUGCACGCUGUUCCGUUUACGCGCAGUCAGACAAGCCUGAAUCUCGGAGAGGGUCGUACGGUCACUAUAGGCGGCUGAAAGCACAGUCACUGCUUGUACACGCUCCGCAGGCGACGGCAGCGUAGCACAUGGUGCGUCAACUUCCGACUCGGUCAUCGUCCGGCGGUGCAGCAGAAACCUGACGAAUGAUAUAGCCGUCGUCGAGUUCUGCGCAUGUCAGUACAGCAGUGUCGGCACCUGUGAAACUGUCAAUGAGACGGUGUCCGGAAUCGCAAUGCAACCACUGCGCAAGUCUCGGCAGAACAUUUUCCGCGUCGGUAGGGAGCACAUCGGAAGGCGACAAAUCUUUUAGGCCUCCCGGCACCCGCUUGCCGGCAUUCCGCAGCGCAGUCUGCGCGGGCACUGUCGGCGCCAUUGGAGACUUGACGCGAUGUUUCCGUAUGCCGCGUUAAUCACCGAAACCUCGACACAGCACGCAAAGCAAACACCACCGCGCCGACACCAGUCACACAAACGAAAAAACGCGGCCUGCUCGCAGCGUCGCGCGCGAAGAAACAAACAGCUGCUGGAUUGUCUUGACAUGGCUUACUAAGCUGAAACCGGAACUGCUGCAGAGCCACUCUAUCGAACUAGGCAGAAACGAUGAUGAUGAGCGGGAAUUUCCAGUAGCGCCACUUCGUGGGGCACCAAGGAAGCUACGUUCAAAACAAAAAUGGCGUUCAGCCAGUCGAACCAUGUACCGGGUUGAGUCGGUGCAUGGUGCUCUCGACCGAGUUGGGUCAAAGAGUGUCCGAAAAAUCAGACGAGAGGUUGCGAGGUGUCCGAACUUUCGGCAGUUGUUAUACAUUAUGGUCUAUGGGGAGAAUGGCGGUGCCGCGAAGCUGACCGAAUAAUCGGGCAUGUCCGAAUUUUUGGAGUCCGGAAAAUCGGUCGGCGACUGUACUGCAAUACAGUUGUGCAACGUGUUCCUCUUGUGUGGAAAACGGGCUGCAUAUGUUUUCUUUGAGCACAAGGGGGAGUGGUAUCAGUUAGAGCCCCUCCAUCCACGUGCCACUGCCGCUUUCUUAAGUAGCGACAACCUUUGUUGUGCGCCGCCUUUUCCCCUCACACCAAAUCCGGUUCCAGCAUUUCCAGUUUAAAAGUUUCCGGUUCCGGCGUUACCGCUUCCUGAAGUUGUGCUGCGGGAAUUUCCGCUUUGACUGCCGAUGGUGAGACGCCCACGCGUGCUUAGCAGAGCUGUGGGAGUCACCAUGAGAAGAAUGCAAAGGCGACAAGCUGUUGUAUUCCGCUGAAGUAGUAAUUCGUGGUCGCUGUUUUCUAAAUGCACGAAAAACGGCAGUGGUCUCCAAGCGCCCAGGCACUACAUUCCACUGUACGUUGUCUCUCGUGGCACAACCCGUCGCAGGUUGACGCGAAACAGCGAACACGAUCAGAUCGCUGAUUGCAAUAGGCGGUGGUACUUGGAUGGAAUCGCAUUCACAGUUUAAACCGCAGCUGGUGCAAUUAAAGCCUCUCCAUCGACGCGAAAGUAAACAACGUUAAGAAAAACAUAGCGUUACUUCCACUCGGAACAGGAAGCUGCAGCUACGGAAAUUCCGCUUGACACCGGAAGCUAAGGGGGUGAGUGGCAGAGGAGCGUGGAGGAAGAGGGUAGGUUGGCGGUACUUAACCUGGUCAGCGGAAACGUGUAUGGAGGGGCUUUAGUAUCAGUUAAUGGCUGUUUUCACAUAUAUGUUUUGUCGUGUGUAUUAGCAAUCACCAUUUUCCUUAUCUGAGUGAGGUCAUUUUUUAGAAAGUUUGAAAGUUUAUAGAACAUGUUGCUCAUGGUUGUUGCAGUUUUCUUCCUAACUAUCCAUUCAUUGCACUGUGCACCCAUGUCUUGGGCAACUAGCUGUUUGAAGGUCAGUAUGCUAUCGAUGGGUCUAAUGGUAAUCUCUAGUGCCCUCUCAUUUGCUUGUUGCAAUACUGAAGAGUUUUGUAUAUUGUGUCACUUGUUUAUUUUCACUGUACUUUAGUUUCACUACAUCUUGAAUGUGUUGUGAUAGUUUUUCUUUUGCAAUGAAAGAUAUGGUGGACAGUUGCCAACACUAA